ensembl:lncRNA
CCUGAUUAGUUCAUUACCAGCCUCUGGAGAACUUCAGGACAUGUUGAGGAGCUAAUUUAGCCAUUUAAAUCAGCUGUGCUGGUUCAAGGACACAUCUAAAACCUGCAGGACACCUGCCCUCGAGGCCUGGAGUUGCCCACCCCUGCCUUAUCAGCCAGUUUCAUAACCUGAAACAGUUCCUGUCGUGUAACAACGGGCCGCGUUUUAGAUUUUACCUUCGGCUUUUAUUCAGAUUAUGUUCUGGCAUCAUGAAGCUCACUCAGACACUUUAGGACUUUCCAGAACUUUAAGUAAAUGUAUUUAAAGCGUCGGCAGCGAUGAGCCGUCUUCGUGCUCGAUCAGUUUCUGGGACAAAUCCUGGCUGAUGGAGAUUUUUCCCGGAUCGUCACAGUUUGUGGGCUUUGCUUUUUAAACACUGACCACAGAUCCCGGAUCAGAGCGACUGGCGGUUGGAAGAAUCCGGUCAGUCUUUAAAAAAUAAAAGCUCACAAAGCACAAACCAUAGAAUUAGACUUGAAGCCUGCAGCGAGUGUUUCAGCUGCUGUAGGCGACGCUCGCUCUCUGCCUCCCGGCGAGGAACACCUGAAGCCAGUUUUUCGUGGGUGAAGCGUCGGAUCGGUGCGUCCCUGCUGCUGUCAGCAGAUUUACGGAUUCAUGUGAACAACAGAAAACUGGUGAAGCUGUCGGUCAGAUAGCGGCUGACCAAUCAGAGCAGAGGAUGUGACUGAGCUGCAGCUGUGAGUCUGUAGGUGUGAUCAGAGCGAGCUGCAGCAGGAACUGAAAGUGAGACGCCGCGGGCCAACGUGUGAAGACGUGGGCGAGCGACGGGAAACUGCAGAGGAUGAAGAGCACGCUCCUCCUCGUCCUCCCGUCUUUGACACGGUUUCUCUCUAACGGGACUUGGCGGCGUUUGAAGGCAGCUAUGUGGACAUUGUUAUUUAUCUAUUUAUUUUCCUCGCGGGUCACUUCCUGCGUGGCGCUUUGUUUCUUCUGUUUCCAUCACAAAUAUACCCGUCUGUUAUCACAACUGUCUGCUUACUUUGCACCACGAGGCGCUUCCUGAAACACCUCACUGAGCUGCCAGUUCGUUAGGUACGCCUCUACCUUAAGCUGCCCUCCCCGACCAGCGUUAUCAGGGCUCACCUCCGACGCUGUGCCAGCAUGGAAGCAGCUUAAGAGUCCUGAAGGCAUAUGAAAGGAAAAUAGACUUUAAACUCAUGAAUGAGGCUGUUUGUGGACAGGAAGUUGACAGCUCACAGGAACCAGGUGGAGUUCAUGUCUGCACCAGGUCAGCCAUCACAUCGUACAGUCUAUUUAUUAAGGUUUCAGUGUUUCUGCUGAAACCGCCGUCAGAGCGUCGGCUCAUCAGCGCGGCGUACAGAGGCUGAGAAGUCCUGAAGUCCCGCCUCUCAGGAGACCGUCGUGCCAACUCGCUGUCGAGGCCUAACCUGCGCUGAAGACGGUCACGUUCAAGACCAGGCAUCAACAAAAUCAUCUACUGACCAAUCAGAUCACUCCGAGUGCAGGUGUAAAAAGCUG